AGCAACCUGCCCCUGACUCUGGGAUAAGCGGUGGAAACGCCGUCUAAUACCGGAUACGACCUUCCAGCUCAUGCUGGAGGGUGGAAAGUUUUAUCGGUCAGGGAUGGGCUCGCGGCCUAUCAGCUUGUUGGUGGGGUAACGGCCUACCAAGGCGAUUACGGGUAGCCGGCCUGAGAGGGCGACCGGCCACACUGGGACUGAGACACGGCCCAGACUCCUGCGGGAGGCAGCAGUGGGGAAUAUUGCACAAUGGGCGAAAGCCUGAUGCAGCGACGCCGCGUGGGGGAUGACGGCCUUCGGGUUGUAAACCUCUUUUACCACCAACGCAGGCUCCACGUUCUCGUGGGGUUGACGGUAGGUGGGGAAUAAGGACCGGCUAACUACGUGCCAGCAGCCGCGGUAAUACGUAGGGUCCGAGCGUUGUCCGGAAUUAUUGGGCGUAAAGAGCUCGUAGGCGGCGUGUCACGUCUGCUGUGAAAGACCGGGGCUUAACUCCGGUUCUGCAGUGGAUACGGGCAUGCUAGAGGUAGGUAGGGGAGACUGGAAUUCCUGGUGUAGCGGUGAAAUGCGCAGAUAUCAGGAGGAACACCGGUGGCGAAGGCGGGUCUCUGGGCCUUACCUGACGCUGAGGAGCGAAAGCAUGGGGAGCGAACAGGAUUAGAUACCCUGGUAGUCCAUGCCGUAAACGUUGGGCGCUAGG
rnacentral:rRNA from 1 species